UACGUAGGUGACAAGCGUUGUCCGGAUUUACUGGGCGUAAAGAGCGCGCAGGCGGUCGUUCAAGUCGAGUGUGAAAGCCCCCGGCUCAACUGGGGAGGGUCACUCGAUACUGAUCGACUCGAAGGCAGGAGAGGGAAGUGGAAUUCCCGGUGUAGUGGUGAAAUGCGUAGAUAUCGGGAGGAACACCAGUGGCGAAGGCGGACUUCCUGGCCUGUUCUUGACGCUGAGGCGCGAAAGCUAGGGGAGCAAACGGG
rnacentral:rRNA from 1 species